GAUGAACGCUGGCGGCGUGCCUAAUACAUGCAAGUCGAACGGGGAGUAGCAAUACUCUUAGUGGCGAACGGGUGAGUAACGCGUUGGUACCUGCCCCGAAGCGGGGGAUAACGGACCGAAAGGUCCGCUAAUACCCCAUGUGCUCGGUAACGAGUAAAGGUGAAAACCACUUUGGGAGGGGCCUGCGUCCCAUCAGCUAGUUGGUAAGGUAACGGCUUGCCAAGGCGAUGACGGGUAGGGGACCUGAGAGGGUGGCCCCCCACAAUGGAACUGAAACACGGUCCAUACACCUACGGGUGGCAGCAGUAGGGAAUAUUGGUAAUGGGCGCAAGCCUGAACCAGCAACGCCGCGUGUGCGAUGACGGCCUUCGGGUUGUAAAGCACUUUUGACUGGGACGAGGAAGGACGGUACCGGUCGAAUCAGCCUCGGCUAACUACGUG
rnacentral:rRNA from 1 species